GACGAACGCUGGCGGCGUGCUUAACACAUGCAAGUCGAACGGAAAGGCACUGCUUUUGUGGGGUGCUCGAGUGGCGAACGGGUGAGUAACACGUGAGUAACCUGCCCUUGACUUUGGGAUAACUUCAGGAAACUGGGGCUCAUACCGGAUAGGAGCUCCUGCUGCAUGGUGGGGGUUGGAACGUUUCGGCGGUUGGGGAUGGACUUGCGGCUUAUCAGCUCGUUGGUGGGGUAGUGGCUUACCAAGGCUGUGACGGGUAGCCGGCAUGAGAGGGUGACCGGCCACAUUGGGACUGAGAUACGGCCCAGACGCCUACGGGAGGCAGCAGUGGGGAAUAUUGCACAAUGGGCGGGAGCCUGAUGCAGCAACGCCGCGUGCGGGAUGACGGCCUUCGGGUUGUAAACCGCUUUCGCCUGUGACGAAGCGUGAGUGACGGUAAUGGGUAAAGAAGCACCGGCUAACUACGUG
rnacentral:rRNA from 1 species